GGGGAGUUAAAGCAUUUUGUUUUCAGUUUACGGCGGAAUGGUGAUGAGACCACCACAUUAUUUGAUUUAUUACAGGCACCACCCAUCAAAAAGGAAGGGCAUACUUAAAACAUUUUUGCCAGCUCUUAAAAGUUACUUGAUUCAUCAUUAAUUUCCUACUUUGUUAUCUUUUCUGUAUAGGAAACUGCAUGCAACUGAAGGGUGUGUCAUUAUGUGUGACAGCAGUGGGAUUUAUUUUGCCAUGGAAACCUGCUUCCAGUUGGGGCUUCCUGCUACGUGUAUUGAAGUAGUAUUGCGUGUCUUAAUUACACAUGCUGUAUACACAGUUGGUACAUCCAGUUCCUAGACAGAAUUGAUAUCCAAGUAGAGACUUUGUCACGUGCAAAGUAGCUCUAAAUUCCUUUAGUUGUGUGAGGCCUUCACUAGAAGACCAGCUUUUACAAUACACGUUUCGUAAUUCAGAAGCAUGUUUGUUUGUUUUUUAAUACCUACACACUUCUCCCUGAAGCUGUUUUCUAUAUGCAGAGAUCUAGAUUCAUUGCCAUAAGAAGACUCUCCACUUUGUAGUUAUUGCAAGGCAAGCAACAUGCAAGCUCCACACGAGAAUUGAAGUUUCUGUAUGUCACUUUAGAGGGUAUGAGAAAAGAAUCCUUUCUUCAAAAGCCAACAACAGAAUUAGAGAAGACCAAGUCAUGCCCUGCUGGUGAUUGGCUUAGUCCAAGAAAAUUUCAGCUUAGAACAACAUUUCACAAACAGUUGUGUUUCACCAUGCUAUAAAUGAUUAAAGUUAAAAACAACAACUACCACCAGGCACAAUUUACAAAUACGAAUCAGAGUAGAGCUAUUUAGUUUCUCUCUAUUGCCUUCAAUAUUGUAAUUAACCCCCCUUUACUGCAGAAUGCUAACAUAGCGUUACAAACAAGAAAUGUCUGAGUUGAAACAGCCAGCAGAACUUGUUGCUGCAUGCAAAACCAAGCCAGCAUAGAAAGGAAAUGCUUAUUAAACCACAACCCAAGGUAUAAAAUACUUGUAGGGAGGACUGACGUCAGUUUUGCCAUGUUUAUUUUUUAUUUUUUUUAGAUGCUCUGUAUUCCUCUGUUAUGUAUUAAAAGAACAAGCCAGUAAUGUAUAUGCAGAUCUCUCAAAGGCUGGCAUGUAACUAAGCUGUUUUAAAAAUGUUAUCUCAGUAAUGCAUUCUUGCUUAGGAAUAUAUGGGGUUUUUUCCCCCCUGGACAAGAGAGGCUGUAAUUCUAUAUUUAUUUGAGUGGAAGACCCAUUGAAUACUGUGGGAUUUGCUGCUUUGUAAACUGGCAUGGGGUUGUGCUGUAGCUUUCAUAUACUCCCACAUUCUUUUUAACUUUCCAGCUCAAGCUCCCUGUGCCUGAAAUACUAUAUUUUGUAAAGAUGUGCUGCCAUUAUUAUUAUUUUUUGUAGAAAAAUCUUUACAGAAGUGAAGCUUUCCAGGAGAAAGCUAUUCCUGCAAUAUGAGCUUCCUAUGCGUGGCAGACAGUUCCUACCUAUUAAAGAGAGAGAACAGUUUUUAGCA